UACGGAGGGUGCAAGCGUUAAUCGGAAUUACUGGGCGUAAAGCGUGCGCAGGCGGUUUGUUAAGUCUGUUGUGAAAUCCCCGAGCUCAACUUGGGAAUUGCAAUGGAUACUGGCAGGCUGGAGUAUGGUAGAGGAAGGUGGAAUUCCCGGUGUAGCAGUGAAAUGCGUAGAGAUCGGGAGGAAGGCCGGUGGCGAAGGCGGCGCUCUGGAACAUUUCUGACGCUGAGGCUCGAAAGCGUGGGGAGCAAACAGG
rnacentral:rRNA from 1 species